rnacentral:rRNA from 1 species
CUACGGGCGGCUGCAGUGGGGAAUAUUGGGCAAUGGGCGCAAGCCUGACCCAGCAACGCCGCGUGAGGGAAGAAGGUUUUCGGAUUGUAAACCUCUGUCCUUGGGGACGAAGAAGUGACGGUACCCAAGGAGGAAGCUCCGGCUAACUACGUGCCAGCAGCCGCGGUAAUACGUAGGGAGCAAGCGUUGUCCGGAAUUACUGGGCGUAAAGGGUGCGUAGGCGGCAUAUUAAGUCAGGUGUGAAAUACUCGGGCUCAACCCGGGGGCUGCAUUUGAAACUGAUAUGCUUGAGUGUGAGAGAGGAAAGUGGAAUUCCUAGUGUAGCGGUGCAAUGCGUAGAUAUUAGGAGGAACACCAGUGGCGAAGGCGACUUUCUGGCUCAUAACUGACGCUGAGGCACGAAAGCGUGGGGAGCAAACAGGAUUAGAUACCCGGGUAGUC